UAGUUCAGUUGGUUAGAAUGCCUGCCUGUCACGCAGGAGGUCGCGGGUUCGAGUCCCGU
rnacentral:tRNA from 1 species